rnacentral:misc_RNA from 1 species
AACUGAUACUACCUGCGGGAACCUGCGGAGGGAUCAUUACAAAUGUUGAGAGAAAUUCUCAAUUCUCAUUUUUUUCCCUCUCUUUUCUCAUGAAAAGGGGGGAGAAAUCCAAUGUGAUCAGUCUCGUUAUAACCCGCUUCUGGUUUGUAAAAAGACUAGUUGCGGGAAUGAAUACACUUUAUGAAUUUUUUUUUUUAAUAAUAUAAAAAAACAACUUUCAACAAUGGAUCUCUAGAUCGG